GGGGCUAGUAUGAAUGGAUAAACGAGGCCUCCACUUUAUUCACCUUUUCAUGAAAAUUAGUAUUAAAGUGAAGAAACUUUAAUUACCCUGAAAGACAAGAAGACCCUAUCGAGCUUAAUCAGCCCCCUAUCUACCCCAUAGACCAUGAUUUAGUUGGGGCAACUAAAAUUCAUUAUAGCACUAUUAUCCCUCCAUAAACAAAGACCAUAAGUCCUCCAAUAGACCCAAAAGAUCAAAAAACAUAGCUACCGUAGGGAUAACAGA
rnacentral:rRNA from 1 species